UUCAGAGUCCUGACAACCACAGCGCUCUGUUUAUUCAAAAACAAUUAUAUAUUGGGAAGUGGCACUGAAAAUUUCCCCAUAUUGCCCCAACAAUAUGCUUCAUUCCUAACCUGGAGGGAAAGCCCAGUCUCCAUGCCCAUUCAUUACUUGGCGUCU
rnacentral:sRNA from 1 species